rnacentral:rRNA from 1 species
UACCAGCACCCCGAGUGGUCGGGACGAUUAUUGGGCCUAAAGCACCGUAGCCGGUUUUACAAGUCCUCCGUUAAAUCCAGCUGCUUAACAGAUGGGCUGCGGAGGAUACUAUAAGACUAGGAGGCAGGAGAGGCAAGCGGUACUCAGUGGGUAGGGGUAAAAUCCGUUGAUCCAUUGAAGACCACCAGUGGCGAAGGCGGCUUGCCAGAAUGCGCUCGACGGUGAGGGAUGAAAGCUGGGGGGAGCAAACCGG